GACGAACGCUGGCGGCGUGCUUAACACAUGCAAGUCGAACGGAAAGGCCCUGCUUUUGUGGGGUGCUCGAGUGGCGAACGGGUGAGUAACACGUGAGUAACCUGCCCUUGACUUUGGGAUAACUUCAGGAAACUGGGGCUAAUACCGGAUAGGAGCUCCUGCUCCAUGGUGGGGGUUGGAAAGUUUCGGCGGUUGGGGAUGGACUGGCGGCUUAUCAGCUUGUUUGUGGGGUAGUGGCUUACCAAGGUUUUGACGGCUAGCCCGCCUGAGAGGGUGAACGGCCACAUGAGGACUGAGAUACGGAGCAGACUCCUACGGGAGGCAGCAGGGGGGAAUAUUGCACAAUGGGCGGAAGCCUGAUGCAGCAACGCCGCGUGCGGGAUGACGGCUUUCGGGUUGUAAACCGCUUUCGCCUGUGACGAAGCGUGAGUGACGGUAAUGGGUAAAGAAGCACCGGCUAACUACGUG
rnacentral:rRNA from 1 species